rnacentral:misc_RNA from 1 species
AAUGCAAAUGGCGCUUCCUGGUCUUCGGGGAGCAUGCCUCUUUGAGAACCGUAAGAGCAAAUCACCCGAACUUUACUGUUCGGGUGGAGUUGGAUGUCACAGGCUGUGGGGCAGGGAGGAUUGCUUCUCUCUUUUUCCCGGCUCGUGGUCCGCAAAGCUUCUUCCAUCCAUUCAGAUAGAAUGUGGGGCGGUGAGAGACACUUUUGCGGUCUUUCCCCAAAGGCCAGGAUAAAUGUGGCACUUGACGUGCACAUAUAUACGACAGCCGACAUCAGGGGGGAAAGCCGCGAAGGGAGGGGGUCUCUCACCGGGGGUUUUUUCCAUUCUCCCCACAGAAUCUGGUCUCAAAUCAGGCAAGAGAACCCGCUGAACUUAA